rnacentral:rRNA from 1 species
AACGAACGCUGGCGGCAUGCCUAACACAUGCAAGUCGAACGAGACCUUCGGGUCUAGUGGCGCACGGGUGCGUAACGCGUGGGAACCUGCCUUUAGGUUCGGAAUAACUCAGAGAAAUUUGAGCUAAUACCGGAUGAUGUCUUCGGACCAAAGAUUUAUCGCCUUUAGAUGGGCCGGCGUUGGAUUAGCUAGUUGGUGGGGUAAAGGCCUACCAAGGCGACGAUCCAUAGCUGGUCUGAGAGGAUGAUCAGCCACACUGGGACUGAGACACGGCCCAGACUCUUACGCGAGGCGGCAGAGGGUGAUAUUGGACAGCGGGCUAAGGCCUGAAGCAGCUAGGACGCGAGAGUGAUGAAGGCUUUGGGGUUGUAAAGCUCUUUUACCCGUGAUGGUAAUGACGGUAUCGGGAGAAUAAGCUCCGGCUAACUCCGUG